GACGAACGCUGGCGGCGUGCUUAACACGUGCAAGUCGAACGGAAAGGCCCUGCUUUUGUGGGGUGCUCGAGUGGCGAACGGGUGAGUAACACGUGAGUAACCUGCCCUUUACUUUGGGAUAACUUCAGGAAACUGGGGCUAAUACCGGAUAGGAGCUCCUGCUGCAUGGUGGGGGUUGGAAAGUUUCGGCGGUUGGGGAUGGACUCGCGGCUUAUCAGCUUGUUGGUGGGGUAGUGGCUUACCAAGGCAUUGACGGGUAGCCGGCCUGAGAGGGUGACCGGCCACAUUGGGACUGAGAUACGGCCCAGACGCAUACGGGGGGCAGCAGUGAAGAAUAUUGCACAAUGGGCGGAAGCCUGAUGGAGCAACGCCGCGUGCGAGAUGACGGCCUUCGGGUAGUAAACCGCUUUCGCCUGUGACGAAGCGUGAGUGACGGUAAUAGGUAAAGAAGCACCGGCUAACUACGU
rnacentral:rRNA from 1 species